UACGUAGGGGGCAAGCGUUGUCCGGAAUCAUUGGGCGUAAAGCGCGUGUAGGCGGCCCGGUAAGUCCGCUGUGAAAGUCGGGGGCUCAACCCUCGAAAGCCGGUGGAUACUGUCGGGCUCGAGUACGGAAGAGGCGAGUGGAAUUCCUGGUGUAGCGGUGAAAUGCGCAGAUAUCAGGAGGAACACCAAUUGCGAAGGCAGCUCGCUGGGACGUUACUGACGCUGAGACGCGAAAGCGUGGGGAGCAAACAGG
rnacentral:rRNA from 1 species